AACGAACGCUGGCGGCAUGCCUAACACAUGCAAGUCGAACGAGACCUUCGUGUCUAGUUGCGCACGGGUGCGUCACGUGUCGGAAGCUGCCCUUAGGUUCGGAAUAACUCCCUGAAGGGGGUGCUAAUGCCGGGUAAUGUCUUCGGACAAAAUAUUUAUCGAAUUUGGAGGGGCACGCGUUGUAUUAGCUAGUUGGUAGGGUAUAAGCCUAUGAAGGCGUAGAUAGAUAGCUGGUCUGAGAGGAUGCGCAGCCACACUGGGACUGAGACCCGGCCCAGACUCCUACGGGAGGCGGCAGAGGGUAAUAUUGCACAAUCGCCGAAGGCCAGAACCAGCAAGGCCGCGUGAGUGAUGAAGGCCUGAGAGUAGUAAAGCACUUUUACCCGGGAUGAUAAUGACAGUACCGGGAGAAUAAGCACCGGCUAACUUCGUG
rnacentral:rRNA from 1 species